UAGAGCAAGAUCCUGAGACACAGAGCUUGUUUAAUUUCUGCUCGAUCCCCAGCAGAUGUGAGAGUGACAGAUGGAGAAGUAUUCAGUGACUCUUGGAAGCCUUUAAGAGACAACAGAUGCCUCCUAACUGUAGAUGAAUUUCUCAGAGGUGCAGAACAAAAGGACAAAAGAGAACAAGGAGCCAGCCCUGCUUUAUCAAGGCACAUACUGGAGGUGGAAUCAACUGUGUGCCUUUAGCUCCCCCAGACUAUGGAGAAAUUAAGAAACAAGUGAGCAAAAUGAAGAGAAGAGGGAAAUACUGCUAACAAGAAAACAAGAACAGGAGGUGGAAAAUGCCAGGAAAAGCAAGGAGAAGGGAGAAAUAAAGGAAGGUAGCCAAAUGUCCCUGGCCAUGAGAGGAAGGCUGCUUCCCAUCAUGGCAAAGAGCGCUGGCAGGUGACUGAGGGAGUUAGUGUGCUCA
rnacentral:lncRNA from 1 species